rnacentral:rRNA from 1 species
GGGGCCUACGGGGAGGCAGCAGUGGGGAAAUUUUGGACAAUGGGGGCAACCCUGAUCCUAGCCAUGCCGCGUGCGGGAAGAAGGCCUUCGGGUUGUAAACCGCUUUUAGCCGGGACGUAAAAGGCAGGGGCUAAUACCUUCUGUUGUUGACGGUCACCGGCGGAAAUAAGCAACCGGCUAACUACGUGCCUAGC